CUGAUAACUUCGUGUCACUACAGGUCGACUGUGGUACAACGGAUUUAAAAGUGAUAGUGUUCUGGCGCUGUUGUUAACCAGCUACCGAACACAUCAAAAGCUUCCAAUUACAGCGACACAGACACACACACAUACACAGGCCAGUUAAACUUGUGGAAGAGUAGUGUUAACACCACAGCCCGACACCACACCACAUCAUACCAUACCCACACCACACGGCACCAUCAAACCACACCACCACCAGGUACCACCACACACCACCACCACCACCACCAGAUACACCACACACCACCACCACUACCACCACCAUCACACACCAUACGAUAGUACUCAACACCACACCACAGCACCACACCAUGGUAUCCUUGGCGCCCCGACCUAACCAGCAUCGCCGAGCCCUGCCAAGCCCCUCCGACCCCUGCCCCGUCCCGAAGCCGCUAAGAUGACUAGUUCGAACUACACUGAAGACCCAGAACUCAGAGUAUGAGGCACAACUAAAGCAUUUCAAACCAAUUACGUCCCAGACUUCAAGAGCGAUUCACCAGCGGCACAGUGCUCUCGUCUGGAGGAAAUUUGAGUCUCCUACAGCAUUUUUCUGCCUGUGACACGUGAGAUCCCUAUGUUGUGGGCAGCAUGGAACUUCACCUCGCACGGGACAGCCUCCAGUAUAAAUCAAGACGUCAGGGGAGUGUCAUCAACUUACUUUCCCGGCUGCCUGGCUCCCCACCUCCCGCCGGCCCCUCAUGGGUCACAUUUCAACAGUGUGUUCUUUGGAAUCUUGUCAAGGAUUGAGGAGGAGGAGGCAGACAGGUGUCCUGGUUGAGGCUAAGUGACAGAAGGCGGAUUCCACCCUCCUUGGCACCAAGAAGUGAUAUUUGUUGAGGAAGUUCCAUGUCAAAAGUGGAACACAAGUUUUUGAGGCACUCAUGCUUCAUGACUGUGUCUCUGUAUCUUGUGAAGAAAUUCCUCAGUGAAUCCCAAUGGAACUGUAAAAGGGAAAAUUAAAUCAAUGGCUUGAUGGGGUUGAGGCAGAGCUCAACGUGAAGACUCCUGACCACCGGCACAGCAGCAGCAGUGAAUAAGGACACACACAGGAAGGUGACAUCACACAGGCUCAGUUGAAUAACAUCUGUGGCACUCUGGAAACACAUUAUACUAGCUAGUCUUUUCUGCUAAGUGAAAUCAUAAUGUGAUGAUAUGUUAUCAAUAAAUGACAAUUUUGUAACUAGAUUACUCAAAUCCUUAUAACCUGCACACAAAACAUGAUUCAACUUUACUGUCAAAUUUGCAAAUUAAAUAUACAAAGAUC